GGCUUUGAUCCGCCCACGUCAGCGCGCCGAAACCCCACCGGGUGGCUCGGGCCGCGCGCGGGGGGCGGGGGCGGGGUCCCCGCGGACGCCACGGACCCGCGACGCCAGCGGCACGGAGGACUUGGCACCCUGUCGAGUUACAAAGGGAGGACUUUUUAAGUGUAGCCGGUGUUUUAAUACGCGUGCCUGCUGCGAGCCUACGGAGGACCUGCGGCGCGUGGGGCCCAGGUCGUUUCAGAGCUGCAGACUUCAGCCAUCCACCCUGUCAUAUCUCUGAAGUUCUGGCUGCUGGAGCAGAAGUGUCUCCAUUGCUCUGGGAGCAUCACGUGGCCAGGGACCAGCUCCAUCUCGCCCACGCAGCCUCCCCGGUGCUCCGUCAAGGCCAGCGGACAGUGGUUGCUCCACAGUCAACAGAUGAGUUGGUGAAAAACCAAAAGACCCUGAUGCCUGCGUCAUAGCACAGCUCAGAAGACAUCUCCCCUGUCCCCCUCGGGAGCCCCAUGGCAGAGAGUGAGCGAAACACACAGAAGCUCAGGGAGAAGAAGGUGCCCAAGGAAGGGAAGAGGAAACUGUGUGUGUGGUACCUACUGUCCCCUGGGAGGCACUUCGUGAACGUCAGCUCAGCUCCCAACCACCCAGAGAAUCAGGAGGAUCCCCCCACCUUCCACAGAACCCGAAACUGGCUUGGAGAGAAGGAUACAUUUGCCCAAGAUCACAGACAUGUAGGGCCUUGGCAUCGCCUGGAACAGCCCACCCUGCGCCAUCAGCACCUCUCCACACCCCUUCAUUGUUUCUACUCGCCCUCGGAGCUCAGCUCAAGACACGCUGGUGCCUUCAAUACAUUGUGUAUUUUCCUCCAAGCACCGAUGACAAUCACAGGCAUGAAAGAAAUUCUUCAUUGUGUGCUUGGUUGUUUAAAAGUCUGUCUCACUUCCUAAGGGCAGGGCUGGGUCUGACUUGCCCACUGUUGUAUCCUGGACACUCAGCCAAAGGCCCCGAUGCAUCAGAGAAUAAAUCAGCUCCCAGGGCCUCCCCCCUUCCCCUGCACAGCCAUCUUGUUGUGCCCCAUCCUGUAAUGUGGGGCUCUUCUCUGUACAAGAAAAGGAAAGGAAAGAGCUAGUCCUAAAGAAAAUCACCUCCUGGGUACAAGGUGCACUUCUGAUUUCUUCCAUGGCUCUGAGCUCUGCGGGGGAGGGACGGCAUCCCCGCCGCCCUUCUCUUCCCCAGUCUCAAGACUAGCUUUAGGCCUGAAGGAGGGGCUCAAGUUGGAUUUACUGAAGAGCGAUCACAGCGUGAAUACCAUCCUGGUGGAUCACAAGAAGUCCAAACCAGAGGGAAUCCUAGAUACUGAGAAAACGUGCUGAAUCCAGGCCCUGGGGUAUUUGUAGGCCAAAAAAAAUAUUAGUGUUCCUUCUUUUAGA